rnacentral:lncRNA from 1 species
CACGCAACCCCGCGGGAGGCGGAGGCGCGGCCCGAGCAGCGGCCGCGUGCGUGGGGCGGGGCGUGGCAGCGCGGAAAGGGGACCGGGCUGGGGCCGGUGACGGCGGGGGCGCGGUUCCACCAGGGCUCGAGGCUCCACGAGGGCACGAGGCUCCUUGGAGCCUUGGGUCUCGCCUCGCGGUGAGAAGGCGGCUGGCCGACCUUUGUUCUUUCGAGACAAAGCCCUGAACUUGGGUCCUCGAGCUGCGCAGGUACGAGGACUCCUUUAUAGAAGACGACUGCUGGGGAGAGGGCUUAGUGCUUGAGUUUGCUGUUUCCAAGGCCACCCAAGGUGUUGAUUGGCAGGUUUCUUCCACAUCCAGAGAUUUCUCCGUUAAAAUUUAAGCAGUUUGCCCUAAGCAGCUUAGCGAGACCCUGUCUCAAAAUCAAAAUGAAAAAAAAAAAGGGCUGGGGAUGUGGCUCAGUGGUAAACCACCCUGUAUUCAAUCCUCAAUAACCAAAAAGAAAAAAAAAAUAUUUUAAGCAGUUUAUGUCAUUAGUUCUGCUUGACAUCUUGGGUCACACCACAUACCAUGAUUAUAUAAAAAGUUGCAUGUGAAAUGUUAAGCCCUUUUUUAAAAAUGCGUGGAGCAUAUUAUAUAGAUUUAGAACCAAGGUAGUUUAUAGAGGAAUUGCUUUCCUAAUUUAUAUUUAACAAUAAAGGCAUAUAAUUAUAUUAAUAACUGCACAUAGUAUCUGGAUUGGGGAAAGACUGAAUUGUAUUUGAGUUCAUUUUCCUGUCCAGUCCCACCGCAGCUCCCCUGAGAAUUUAAUGUUUUGUGAUGAAGGACGUUUCCAGAUUUAAAGCAACUUCUUUAUGUUUUAUAAGCUUUGGACUCAAAAAGUUUUUCAGAUGAUGGAUAAUAGAGCAAAAGUGAGUAAAAUCUCAAGCCUACCUCCUGGGCUCUCCAACUUAUUCCUUUGAACAAGUCCUUUGAGGACUCUUGAAGACUCAAACAGGCAAAUGUAUUUCCAUAAAUAUAAGUAAUCAAAAAUAUCAGGAGACUGGAAGUAUAACUGAACCGUAGAGCACUGACCUGGCAUUCUCAAGGCUCUGAGUUAGAUCCCCAGCAAGGGAAAAAAAAAAUGUUCAGGAUCUAAGUUUAAUUUUAAUUUGCAUUCCCCACCCCUCUUUAAUUGUGUAGGUUUCUGGCCUUGGUUGGAAAAUAGCUAUGAAUAAAUAGGUAUGAAUAAUAAAAUGCUGCAGUUUCACAAAGCUAAGGGAAAGAUGGUAGAGACUAACACUUAAAUUGUUUUUUUCUCUGAGAUUUUUUACUGUUAAGGUGGUGGCUUUAGGUAUUCAUAGUUGGGAGCAGUCAUCCUUUUGCACUACUAAAUGUAAGCAGAGCCCGGAUUUUAACUUUGUUCUGUUUACUAAGGGUCUUCACCUCAUAAAGGUGCACUAUUUAUCAGAAUCCUAUAAGGUAGGUAUUGGCUCCAUCUCUGUGACUUAACACACUGGGGUGGCCACAAAUCUCCUUUUCUUACCCCAUCCUUGGUCAGAAAAUGCCCUUUAUUAUUGUAACUAAAACCUAAGUACUCCCUAUGAGCCUAGAAGCUUUUGUAAUUACAUAAAGAACUUGACAGGUCUUCCUUGUUCCCUGUGGUCAAGAACUGUCAGUUCUAGCCCAGUCCAAGUAUGCAAUAUAACCAUCCAAAAGAGGGCCAGGUGCAGUAGCACAGGCCUGUAAUCCCAGUGGCUCUGGAGGCUGAGACAGGUAAGAAAGGAGAAUUGAGAGUUCAAAGGCAGCCUCAGCAACUCAGUGAAGACCUAAGCAACUCAGCGACACCCUGUCUCUAAAUAAAAUACAAAAAAUGGGCUGAGGAUGUGGCUCAGUGGUUAAGCACACCUGGGUUCAAAAAAAAAUCAUCCAAAAUAGUCUACUCCAUUAACUUAGUUAUGGUCUUGACUAGGCAACAAACCAUUAAGGACAAGACUUCAAGUUAAGGAGAAAAAAGGAUAUGAAAUGAUUCUGCUCCCUCCUCUUUCUCCUUUGCUUCCUCUCAACAUCACAUUCUUCCUCAUUCUAGUUCUAGUCAUUCCACCUGCUUUGAGUUUUCCAAGUGUACAAAAAUCCUAGCCAACGAAGUUCUGGGAGAUACAGCCCUAGACAUCUUUCCCAGUCUCAUCAAUUUUCUUUUUGGCUAUUCAAGGCCUCUUCAAAAACCCAGUCUUUUGUCUGUCAUUCAUUGGUCACUGCCUGUCGCUGAAACUGGUCACAGUCCUGGUCUCCAGCACUGAUCAUAUGACUCUGUAUGCAACUGUCAAAGAGGAACAGGGAAUGUAAUAAUAUUCUGAAAACUUGGAGAUGACAGAAUAACAUUAAUAUGAAAAUAAAGGACUUAAAAGGGCUGACAUGUAUCCAGGUUUAUUCUGAGUCCAGGUGACAGUUGUUAGUGUAUGUUCUGUAAGUUGUUUCAGUUUGACUUUCACAGAUAGACUGUCAUGGACUUUGUCAGUAGCCUCCCUGGUGUGUUAUACCACCUUCUUCCUGACAAAGGAGGCAAGAGGAAAAGGAGCUGGUGGAGGAGUUAUUCUAGAAAAAGUUUUCUUAAUUUUAAGAGAUAUUUUUUCUUCCUUUGGAUAUUGUAUGUCUAAAUUCAUUGCUGCAACUGUCUUGAUACAAAUAUAUAGAUGAAACCAGAACUGAAAAUUGCAGAACUGAGAAUUAUAAUCAAGCUGGGUCCUUAAUGACAUUAUUGAUCCACCGUCCAUCUAUCCUAAGCUGCUUCUCCCAAUUAGGUGAGUUAAUUUUUAUUAUCUGAGUCUAAAAAAGAAUCUUUGAGAGGUUCGUUGGUUCUGUUUUUCUCUGUUGCUUAUUAUGUUAAAUAAACCUAUAUCUAUUUAUCUAUCAGUAUGCCAGAGGAAAAAACUCAUCACCAAUGAUCUUGUUUAGUUUUUCUUUCUUUCUUUUUUUUUUGACAGUGCUGGGGAUUGAACCCAGAACCUUGCACAUGAUAAUCAAGUGCCAUAACAUUGAGCUACAUUACCCAGCCCCAUUUUUUUUAUAUUUUAAGUUAUUUUGCAAAUCAUUUACAGAAGCAAGAAUAAAAGAAUACUGAAAAGAUAUUUAAUAAGUUUUAAUUUAAACAUAGCAAACUCAUUUUUUUAUCCCAUAUUUUCCUACAUUUGAAGAAAUAGGUACCAUAAAUGGUAGUUUCAGUUUGAAUAAAACUAGUUAUCCAUUAACAUAUAUGAGCCAGGAACAUAAUUAUCAUAUUCAUUUCAAAUACAUCUCUGACAAUUUUAGUUCAUAAUUAAUCUUGUUUCUUGUACCUGAAAAACACAAAACUCAAAGCUUUUGAAAACUUCAAUGAUUCAUCAUUUUGUUGAAGACAGGAUAGCCAUAUUCUUUGCUUCUUAACUGCGAAACAUUUUCAUUUUUAGGUUUAUAAACAAAAAUUAGAAUUAGCAAUUCAUGGAAUUUUUUUUCAUCUCUACCUCAGAUGUUUCCUUCCAUUCACCUAUGUAUGUGCAUAUUCCUUUAUUAUUUGUUGCCUUGAAAACUUUAUAAAGUAUGUUGAUACAUGAGAUCACAAAAGAUAGCAGAACAUAUAUCACAUUUUUUUUUCUUUUUAUUGGUUCUUUUAAAUUAUAUAUAACAUUGGGACUCAUUAUAAAAGCAUGGAAUAUAAUUUGCUCUAAUUCAGUCCCCAGUAUUUCCUCUUACCUUCGCCUUAUCCCUCCCCUUCUCUCUACUCUACUGAUCUAUUAUGCACUUUUAGUUGUUUUUUUUGUUUUGUUUUGUUUUUUAAGUUAGUGUCUUGUGAUGGUGAGAUUCACUGUGGUCUAUUCAUACUUGUACAUAGGAAAGUUAGGGAAGACUCAUUCUACUCUUCUUCCUUUAUCCCAUCCCUUCUCCCAACCCCUCAGUUCCCUUCAUCUAUUCUACUGAUCUUUCUUCUAUUUUGAUAAAAUGUCCCCUCCCCCACUUUUCCCAGAUCAUAUGGUGAUACCAUUCCUAAAUUUCUGAGAAAUCUCCAUACUGCUUUUCAAAGUGGUUGCACUAAUUUGCAGUCACACAAACAGUGUAUGAAUUUACCUUUUUCUCCACAUCCUCACCAACACUUGGUAUUAUUUGUAUUCUUGAUAAUUGCCAUUCUGGCUGGAGUAAGAUGAAAUCUCAAUGUAGUUUUGAUUUGCAUUUUUCUAAUUGCUAGAGAUAUUGAAUAUUUUUUUCAUGUACUUGUUGAUGAUUUGCAUUUAUUUCGAGAAAUGAAUUUUUAGCUUUUUUUGCCCAUUUAUUGAUUGGGUUAUUUGGUAUUUUGGUAUUAAAUUUUUUGAGUUCUUCAUAUAUAUUCUGGAUAUUAAUGCCCUAUUUGAAAAGCAGGUGGCAAAGAUCUUCUCCCAUUCUGUGGGUUCUGUCUUCACACUCUUGUUUCCUUUGCUGUGCAGAAGCUUUUAAAUUUGAUGUCAUCCCAUUUAUUGAUUUUUUUUUUUUUAAUUUCUUGUGCUUUAGGAUUCUUGUUUAAGGAAGUCGAUUCCUAUGCCAACAUGUUGGAGUAUUGGGCCUACAUUUUCUUCUAGCAGUUGCAGAGUUUUGGGUCUAAUUCCUAGGUCUUUGAUCCACUUUGAGUAGACUUUUGUGCUAGAUGAGAGACAGGAGUCAAGUUUCAUUCCUCUACAUGUAGAUUUCCAGUUGAAGAGGCUAUCUUUUCUCCAACAUAUGGUUUUGGUUUCUUUGUCUAGUAUAAGAUAAUUGUAUUUAUAUAAGUUUGUGUGUGUCUUUUAUUCUAUUUCCAUUUGUCUUUCAUGUCUGUUUUAGUGAUAGUGCCAUGCUGUUUUUAUUAAUAUAGCUCUGUACUAUAAUUUCAGAUCUGGUCUUCUGCUUCUAGCAUCACACUUUCUGCUCAGGAUUGCUUUAAUUAUUCUAGGUCUCUAAUCUUUCCAAAUGAAUUUUAGAACUGCUCUGUCUACUUCUGUGAAGAAUGUCAUUAGUAUUUUGAUGGGAAUUGUAUUGAAUCUGUAUAACACUUUUGGUAGUAUGGCCAUUUUUGUGAUGGGGGGGUAAACUGGGGAUUGAACUCAGGGACAUUCAACCACUGAGCCACAUCCCCAGCCCUAUUUUGUAUUUUCUUUAAAGACAGGGUCUCACUGAGCUGCUUAGCAGACUUGCUUUUGCUGAGGCUGGCUUUGAACUUGAGAUUCUUCUGCCUCAUCCUCAUGAGCCACUGGGCUUACAGGCAUGUGUCACUACACCUGACAACAUGGACAUUUUGAUACUAAUUUUGCCUCUCCAAGAACAUGGAUGGUCUUUCCAUCUUCUAAGGUCUUCUUCAAUUACUUUCUUCAUUGUUCUGUGGUUUUCAUUGUAGGGGUCCUUCAUCACAUCCUUUGUUAAAUUAAUAUUUUAUUAAUAUUUUGAGUUUAUUGCAAAUGGGAACUUCUCCCAAUUUCUUUUUUAGCAUAUUAAUUAUUGGAGUAUAUGAAAGCGAUUGAUUUAGGUACAUCACACAUCUUUUUAAAAUGGCUUGGGUUCUAGUUGCAAAAUAUUGAAUAAGAAAGUCAUUCCCAUUAAAUGUCUAACUGGAUGAGAAUUCCAUACUUUUUUUUUUAAUACUUAAAUACAUGUUGUUGAGUCAUCUUUCUUAGCUUAAGAAAAUCAUCCAGAAUGUCCUUUGUGAAUUCACAGUCUAAGAAUUGACUUGUAUGAUACAUUUCACCAUCAUCCUUAAAAUCUAGAGGUUUUUUUUUUUUUUGCAUUCAUUUUCUAAUUUUUCUAAUAUUUUGAAAUGUUUCUCUUUAUCAAUUUUCCUUUCUUUGCUAUAUGGGAUGACAAAUGAAAAACUCUGAAUUUCAUUAGUGGUUAAUAAAAGAUUAAAACAACAAUAAACAAUGCAAAGAUACUAUCUCCAGAUUUUUUUUUAAUACUCCCUUAAAUGAUGAUGCAGUCCCAGCGGCUCAGGAGACCAAGGCAGGAGGAUUACAAGUUCAAAGCCAGCUUCAGCAAAAGCUGGGCGCUAAGCAACUCAGUGAGACUCUCUCUAAAUAAAAUACAAAAUAGGGUUGGGGAUGUGGCUCAAUGGUUGAGUGCCCCUGAGUUCAAUCCCCAGUCCCCCAUCCCCCACACAAAAAAGAGAGAAUGCAAUAUUUUAGACAUUGUAGUGAACCAAGAAAAUUAUUAUCUUACAGUGAAUGAUUUAUUUCACUAUUGAAUCUACCUGCUAGGUGAUUACAAAUUCUAUACCUUUUGCCUUUUCUAGCACAGUUAGGAGUAUUGUUGAGUAAUGUGGAAAUAAUUCUUACAAUAAUGAUAUAUCAAAAUGUUUUAUUUGUAUGAAACUAGAGGAAAUCAAAAUCACUAAGAGACUAUAAGAAAAGGUCCAGUGGACCCUUUAUGGCAAUUGCAAGAUAGAAUGAGUUUUAGUUUUUUUAAAAAACAAAAUUUAUUUUUUUUGAAAAGUGAGUGUAAAAAAGAAUAGAAGUUAUGAAAUAGUUAUCCUUGUAACCAGAACAUCUCAGAAAAAAUAAAAUUCAAAAUCUAAAAUUGAACUGAAUGAACCCUAAUGGGUUAAUCCGUGGUAAAUUUGUCCCUCUGGCAUUUGCAACAGAGUUUAAUCUACCUGAUAAUUUACAGUGGUAAUCAGUGACACCCACAGUACUGAAAUCAAAGGACAUUUUCCUAUCAUCUUUGCAAUCAAAUUGAUCAUAUCUUCCUUUUUGAAACCUGCAUUCUUUGGUACUGCAUGCAGACUUCCUUCUGAUUUUAACCAAACUUAAAGACUACUCUCUCAUCCUCCAGAAGGUACUUCUCUUUAAAAUAGGAAAUUCUUAAAGGCUUUCCUUCUCUCUCUUCUACUCUUUUCAUCUAUAUCCUCCCUCUCCCUAAAUAAACUCACCCAUCCUGUGACUUUAAAUGUCAUCUAUUUGUUGAUGACACAUAAUCUUUUACCUCUGGAUCUGACAUCUCUUCCCGAUAUUUAUAAUCACCUCCCUACUUGGUAUAUCUGCUUGGAUAUCUUACAAACAUCCCACACUGAACUCUUGAUCUUUACUUGUUCCAAAUUCUGCUUCUCUUGACAUCUUCCCUAUGACAUCUGCCUCUAUAUAUUUGUUUAAAACAGAAACACAGGAAGCUCUCUUAACCCUUCUCUUCUAAAUUUCAAAUAUUUCUUUCUGUGUACAUUGCCACCGCCUUAGUUCAAGCUACCAUUAUGUCCGGGACUUUGGCAAGAGCCAUAAUUGGUACUUCCUUGCCCCAUUGCCACUGCCAUAGGGAUCUUUCAAAAAUGUAAAUUGUUUCAUGUCACUUCCUUGAUUAAAACAUUUCAAUGGUUUCUAGUAAACCUCCUAGUAAUUCUCCUAGUAAAACCCAAAAUUUUUAGUGUUGCCUGCAAAGUCCUAUAUGAUUAGGUCACUGUCUACCUCCCAAAUAUAUCUCACAUCACCCUCCACCCCACACACUGGCUAUCUUCCAGUCACAGUGAUGUGCUUUUACUUCUACCCACACCCCCUUCCCACAACUAUGUCUGGUUAACUCCUAUUUAUUUUUCACUGCUCAAUUUAAUGUCACUGAUUACACAUCGACUGGCUAACUCCCUUUAUCUCCAUUUUUAGUUACUCCUCUGAUUCUGUUUUCUAGUCCCUUAAAACACUGGAUUUUAGGGCUAUGGUGUAGCUCAGUGAUAGAAUGCUUACAUAGCAUGUACAAAGUCGUGGGUUUAAUCCCCAGCACUGAAAGAAAAAGGAAGGAAGACACUUCCAACUCCCAACCCCAACUUUUAUUUCAUAGUUUCUUUUCAGGAUUAGUCGUUUAUGAUUCAGGAAAUAUUUGCCUAUUUCCUAAUAAUACCUCUGUAAUGUUUAACUUUGGUCUAAGCUUUCAAUAAGAGCCUAUCCAGUCAAUGUAUGUGUUUUAGAUUCUGUGGACAGUAUGUCACCUCUACAGGUAAGAUAUUAGGGAGAUGUACAGAAAUUCUCUCCCAUACUCUCAACAAUAAUCAUGGACAGUGCAUAAAAUUUAGAAAAUGAAGAAAAAGUACAAAGAUGAAUAUAAAAAUGUAUCUAUCCCACAGUGUAGAUAGAUAAAAAUAGCUACAAUUAAUUUGUUUGUGACCUUCCUUCUUUCCUUUCUUCUUCUUAUUCAUUUGUCCUUCCCUAGGACAGUAGUUCACCAAACAUCAUAGUUGGUUUGCAAAUCAUUCAUUUCACAUAAAUUUAUCUAGUUCGUGUAAAUGGUCACUAGUUAUUCAGUAUUCUAAUUAGCAGGUAGCCCUCAAGUAUAUGUUGCAUAAGAAUUACUCUGGAGCCAGGCAUAGUGUUACAUGCCUAUAGUUGUUAUGACUAGGGAGGAUGGCAAGUUCAAGGCCAACCUCUGCAACUUAGUGAGACUGUGUCUCAAAAUAAAAAAUAAAAUGGGCUUAGAUGUAACACAGUGGUAGACCAUCACUGAGUGCAAUCCCCAGUACCAAAAAAAAAAAAAAUUACUUCGGAAUUCCACUUAUGAAUUGUGAUUUGCUCACAAGAAUCUCCCUUGUACACAAUAAUUUUUUUCCUUCAAAACUCAUUAAAGUGUCAGUAAAGAAAUAAAAGAAACAAUAACCCAUUAACCUAUAAUGACAAAACAAAGGAUGGGGAGUAUGAGAGUAGAGAUUUCAACAAGUGUUUGGACAAGAAGUAUAUGGAAGAUGACAGUGAAUGAAGGAAUAGUAAUUAGUUUAGCAGAGAAGAGGAGAUUGAAACCUAAAUCUCAAGAUGAAGGCCAGUUCUCCUGGGAGAUUAAAGCUUCAGCAUUUGGGAGGUACCAGCUGCCCCUGAAAGUUAGUUCAGAUACAGGCUCAGAUUAGGAGGGAUGGUUGCAAGUCUCUUUGAAAUAGUUAGCCCCUAGGUUUCUGUACUCAGACUGCACAGCUAGACAGCUUUCCCUCAGUGGACCAAAAGAGGGGCAUUAAGUGAAUGUUCUCCUCUCAGAGAAGGGGUACAGCAGAGCCCAAAUAUCACAGGUAGAUGUGCCUGCAGUGAAAAACUUCACUGCAGGCACAUCUACUUGUGAAUUUUAAAAAAUCAUACUCCACAUAGAAAAGGUUAUUUUGGCUCAUGGUUUUAGAGGUUCCAGUCCAAGAUCAAGUGGACCCAUUGCUUUAGACCUCUGGUGGGGUGCCAGAUGCAAAAUGGACAUGUGUGGCAGAGCAGAACCACUUAUCUCAUGACUAGAGAACAAAAGAGAGCAAGAGGAAGGGACCGGGGUCCCACUGUUUCCUUCAAGGGUAUGCCCCUAAUGACCUGAAGAUCUGUUACUAGGCCCUACUUUUAAAAGUUCCACCACCACCCCAAUAGCAACAGCAAGCUAUUAAUCAUUUCAAGUAUCUCAUUAUAGUGAUGGAAAGUUGACUAACACAAAUGUGUAGUAUCUCAAAAUAUGAAGGGGAAUCUGUGAAUAUUUACACUUGUAAAUAUUCAAUAAAAGGUAAAAAUAAGGUUGUGGAAAGAUAGAAAAUAAAAGAGGAAAGAUGAGAAUGUCAGAGAAUCCUAGUGUUUAUUAAUAGGAAUUUUAGGAAGAGCAAUCAGAAAAAAAUAAGGAGAGCAAAUUAUCAGGGAAAUUAUAGAAGGAAAUUUCCCAGACUCAAAGAUAGGAGUGCUUUUAUUUUGGAGUUGUAGAUGGACAGAAUGCCUUUUUUUUAUUUAUUUAUUUUUAUGUGGUGCUGAAGAUCGAACCCAGUGCCUCACACAUGCUAGGCAAGUGCUCUGCCACUAAGCCACAACCCCAGCCUAGGAGUGCCCAUUAUUGACAGGCUCAUCUUAAAAUUUUAAACAAAACCAUUUCAAGUCACAUCAUGUUUCAGAACAUCUUGGACAAAGAAAAAAAUUAUAAAAUCUACAGAAACAGAAAGCUGAUCAGAAAAAAACCCUCAAAAUUGCAUCAGUAUUGUUACCCUUGAUAGAAAAUAAUAAAGCAUAACCUUAAAAAUUAGGGAAGGCUGGGAUAUAAUUCAAUGAAAGAACAUUUGCUUAGCAUAUCCUGGUUCUAUCCCCAGGACCAAAAAGACAGAAAGAAAGAGAACUAAAAAAAAUCUGAGGGAAAACUAUUUUUAGCUUAGAAUCCUUAACCAAACUAACUGUGAAUCAAGUCACAUAAAUUAUACAUUUUCAGAUAUACAAGAUCUCAAAUGUUAUACCUCCUGUGCAUUCUUUCUUAGGAAACUGGAAGGACUACUUCAGCAAAAUAAGGAAAUAAAAAAAGAACAUGGAAGAUGUGGAAAAGAAGAUACAACAAGAAAAGUAGCAAGGAAAAUCCUAAGGUGGCACGAGGGGAUAUCCCAGAACUUCAAGGAAACAACAGUACCGGAAAUGAGGAGGAAGAAAGAGGGCUCCAGAGGCAGCUCAGAAAAAAUUAAAAAAUAAAUAAAUAAUGUUGAAGUGUUUUCAACAUUAAAAAAAAAAAAUGGGAUUGGGGGCUGGGGUUGUAGCUCAGUGGCAGAGCAUUUGCCUAGCAUGUAUAAGGCACUGGGUUCAAUCCUCAGCACCACAUAAAAGUAAAUAAAAUAAAGGUAUUGUGUCCAUCUACAACUAAAAAAAUAUAUAUAUGAAAUUGGGCUGGGGUUGUGGCUCAGCGGUAGAGCAUUUGCCUAGCAUAUGCAAGGCCUUGGGUUUGAUCCCCAGCACCACAUAAAAAUAAAUAAAGUUAUGGCAUCCAACUACAACUAAAUAAAUAUUUAAAUAUAUAUAUAUA